UACGAAGGGGACUAGCGUUGUUCGGAAUCACUGGGCGUAAAGCGCACGUAGGCGGAUGUGUCAGUCAGGGGUGAAAUCCCGGGGCUCAACCUCGGAACUGCCUUUGAUACAGCACGUCUCGAGUCCGGGAGAGGUGAGUGGAAUUCCUAGUGUAGAGGUGAAAUUCGUAGAUAUUAGGAAGAACACCAGUGGCGAAGGCGGCUCACUGGCCCGGUACUGGACGCUGAGGCGCGAAAGCCAGGGGAGCAAACGGG
rnacentral:rRNA from 1 species